rnacentral:rRNA from 1 species
AUACGGAGGGGGCAAGCGUUGUGCGGAAUUACUGGGCGUAAAGGGCGCGCAGGCGGUUUCGUUAGUCAGGCGUGAAAUCCCCGGGCUCAACCCGGGAACUGCGUUUGAUACUGCGGAACUAGAGAUCGGGAGAGGGUAGUGGAAUUCCCAGUGUAGAGGUGAAAUUCGUAGAUAUUGGGAAGAACACCAGUGGCGAAGGCGGCUACCUGGACCGAUACUGACGCUGAGGCGCGAAAGCGUGGGGAGCAAACAGGAUUAGAAACCCGAGUAGUCC